GACGAACGCUGGCGGCGUGCUUAACACAUGCAAGUCGAACGAUGAAGCGCUGUCUUUUUGGCGGUGUGGAUUAGUGGCGAACGGGUGAGUAAUACGCGGGCAACCUGCCCCUCUGCUUCGGGAUAAGCUUUGGAAACGGGGUCUAAUAUCGGAUGUGCCUGUCUGGUCGCAUGGCUGGGCGGGGAAAGAUGUUUUUCGGCGGGGGAUGGGCUCGCGGCCUAUCAGCUUGUUGGUGGGGUGACGGCCUACCAAGGCGUCGACGGGUAGCCGGCCUGAGAGGGUGGUCGGCCACACUGGGACUGAGAUACGGCCCAGACUCCUACGGGGGGCAGCAGUGGGGGAUAUUGCACAAUGGGCGCAAGCCUGAUGCAGCGACGCCGCGUGGGGGAUGGAGGCUUUCGGGUUGUAAACCCCUUUCGGCGCGGGACAAGGCUCCGUUUGGCGGGGU
rnacentral:rRNA from 1 species